UCCUCUCUCUCUCUGUCUCGCUCUCUUCAAGAUCUACAGCUGGACUUCUCAAAUGUUAAAAUGUCUGGAAAUUACCUGGGAAUCAUGUUAAAAUGCAGAUUCUGACCCGGGAGGUCUGUGCGGGGGCCCUGAGAUCUUGCAUUUCUGACGAGCUCCUGGAUGACACUUUUGCCACAUAUCCUUGGGCCAAGCUUUGGAAACCAGAGUCUGGCUACCCAGCCAGGCAUCUGGCCAAAUCUGUGUCCUCAAUACUUAGUAUUUGUUGCCAGGUAAACAGUGGGUAGCGGGUAAAGUGUCGCUGGAUGGAUUAAAGAAUUAAUUUCUCCUAAUUAUAAUGUUGACAAUCAAAGCCAGUGUUUGAGCUCUUAGUAUCUGUCAGGCGCUGUGACUUAUAUUAAAUCUAACUAGCGCCGUGAGAAGGACUUCUAAUCAUUUCUCCAUUUGGCAGGCGGGAAACCCAAGCCCCAGAGAGGCUGAGUGACUGUGGUGAGGGUGAAGCCGGCAUGUGGACCCCAAGUCUGGGCCUUGAACAUCUGUGGUAUCCAGAGUGUCAUAGGAAGGGGAAUGGGGUACCGAGUUGCAAAGGAGCAUUUUCGAGUGCAUUGUGGGUGCUCGGUCAUUUCUCUUAUGUCACUGAUGUCCUGCAUCCACCUUGAUGUCAACGAUAUAGCUCCCUAAGUAGAAAGGGUUACUGUUCUGUGCUAGGACAUAGAUUUCCAAGUGAUCAGGAGGGGACAAUCCUGGGGACCCGGGACUCUCAGUGGGGUGCUCGCAGGAACGUGGCUGAAGUGUGUGGCUGCAUAUGACAUCGAGGGCGAGCCCACAAACUUCACCAGACUCUCGAGGGCAUGCGACCUCAGAAGAGCCAGGAACGACUGCUUUAGACAAUCAGAACUGUCUCUAUCAAGGGUUCUCCUGCUGGACAGAAUUAAUUCUUCAGAAUUGCCAGGGAGAGGAAAUAAGCUUGAACAAGUGGCAGGAGCUUGCUAAGACUUGGCCUGGUUUUGGACUGUUGAGUCCCUGGGCACUGUGGCCCCUCUCUUCCCAUCUCCAUUAGAUCCUGCUGGGACCUUUGUGUGGCAUCUCUUCUCCCCACGGGGCAGGAGCCACGUCCUAUCCAUCGUCAAUUGGAGGAAGUGUGCCUCUGUGUCUGGCACAGAGCAGGACUCUGAAAUGCUAGUGGAGUUGGUAGGUCUGGGUAGCAGGGGCUAGAAUUCUCUAGAAUUCAUUUCCCCAGCCAGUGAAGGCGGUCUCCUCUGCCGGGGGAGCGGGAGAACCCGGAGGGACCAGGAGCGGAAGCUGUCGUCUUUUAGUUGGCCACGAGGCGGCGCUAUUGGUCUGCACUCGGGUCCCGGCCAUUGUCUCCGCCGGCUCUGCGACAACGCAUUAUUCAAGAGGGUGAUCGCUACCAAAGGCUAGACUCACGACGUAUCAUGUCACACAAAUGGCCGAUAAUGAAUGGGACGGGGCAGCCGAUUAGCUGCAUCCCAGCCCCCUCGGACCUGCUUUUGCGUGGACGGUACCUGCAGGACCGACCCCGCCUCGCCUACGCUCUGAAGGAGUCGCAGAUCCUCGUGAAAACCCACAGGUUGCUGCCAACUCUUUCCCAGGGCGACGCCUUCCUCGCUCCAUAUGCGCAUCAAGAGGCGGACGGAAAACGAUCCCUCUCGCGCAGGCCGCACCAAUUUCCAGCCUCACUUUUAGCUGGGCAACCGUCGAUUGUGCCCUGGAGGGGUGUGCGGGGAGGUUUCGGCGAAUUGGGCAGCGGCAGCCGCAGCAGCAGCGGGAGGCAAGGCCCAGGCGGGCUCGGCGGCGGGAAGAGGGGAAAGUCGCCUCCUCCGUGCGGUCUUGCGUCCCGCCGGACCUGCGUCCCCCCCUCCCGCGGGCCCCAGUCCAAGCUCCCGCCUCUAGGCGGCAGCACCGCAGCACGGAAGGCGCUCCAGAGCCCGGCCCAGGCCCGCGGGGUUGCAGCUAGUGCUGCUUUUGCCUGCGACCUCUGUGAGCACACCGGUGUGAUUUGGGGCACGUGGCCUCCUGUCCUAGGCCCGGCCUCUGUUUUCCCCUCUGUAAAAUGGGGACGUUAGCACCUGCUGCACCAGGUAUGUGAAGGCUCUUCAGACACUCUGACAAGCACGCUCAGGGGGAGGCACUUGGAGCAUUAGGGGAAACCCAGGGCCUGGGUCUUAAGGUGCCGCGCGGGCAAAUCUCUUAACCUCUCCGGGACUGAAGUGGCCGGUCCGCAGAAGAUGAGGUUGGAGCGGGUGACGUUGGAGGUUUUUUUCCAUCCUGCACCUCAACCUGUGAUAAAACACAGCUAUCCCGCGUACUACGCCUUCGAAGCCUCGAUCUGGCAAACGAUCAGAAAUGAUGCGAGCAAAUGCAUGAGCGGGCAGGAAGAACCUGCUGUCCUCUGCUCUACCGCGUCCUGUGGAAGAAGACAAAAGGGGGGCAUCGCCACUGACUACAGAGAGCAGGGCGUCCAGUCUCCGUCUUGCAGGAGGAGCUGGGCCAGGCUGAAGGGAACAUUGGCCUCUUUCCUGUUGAUGGUACACGGCAGGCUCAUCCUCCAGAGAUGCCACCCGGGAGAGCCCAGCGGGGGCAGCUCUGAGGUUGCCGGCAUGGCCCAGCGUAUGGCCAACGCAGGGAAUCAGGUGCCUGGGGACUCAGGGGCCGCCUCAAGUCUAUGUGAAAGAAAUUAUAGCGGGAUGCUUGUGGAUGAAGAUGGGCUUAUCUCUCGUCUACAAAGCUGGGGUUUUCCACCAAGAUGUUUCAGUCACUUCUGCUCCUGUUUCGACGACCAGAGCAAAUCACAGGGGAUGGCGGCUUUCCAGGAGGGGCUGAGAUGUACCAUAUUACCACGUGACCAGAAGGGAAAACCGUGAAAUAUGUGAACAGUGCUCGUGACGGUCCACAUCCUUUCCUUCUUCUGGAUCCUUUCCUGGUUUCCGAAUUCUGCGCUUCUAAGAUGGGAGUCAGAAACUCACUGUGGUGGACAGGAUAAUACUCCACACAAAGAUGUCCACGUCUUAAUCCCCAGAACCCGGUCAACAGCCCCCUCUGGCCUCUGGGGUAAUGCCUCCGAGACUUUCCCCGACGUCAUGACUUCGGAUUCAGAGCAUGGCGUCACGAGUUCACCAGAACUGGGCUGCCCCCACCGAUGAGUAUUUCAGUGUCUUUUGCUACGUGACGCCCAGCGACAUACGGCCACGACGUUUAUCCCGUGUUCACCGGCCUUCCCGGGGACUGGCUGUACGAUGGCCAGGCCGAUCUGGGCUGUGCUCUGCUGGAGGUCCUGGUUCAGCCUGCGGGUCGGGCUCAGGUCCGGGUUCUGGGCCAGAGGGACGGCAGCUCCCGCGGGGACGCUCGGGUCACGGUGGAUCACCGGAGCACAGAAGCCAGCGCGAUGGCAGCCAGGCUCACUUUGUCUCCGCUCCUGUCGUGACAGCGAACACCCCAUGGACCAGGGCAGGGCACGCGGUUAAGCUGAAGCCAGGGUGCGGCAAAGAGGGGGAUGCAGGGCUGGCGCUGGGGGUGCCAAGAGUUGGCCCUAAUUCAACUGUCACAACAGAGAAGGGAGCGUGGGCUCGGGGAAAUUCAGGUUAUUUUCCUGGAUCUCAUGGUAAGUCAGUCGUAUGGGUUGAGGCCACUCCUCUAUUCGUUACCCUACGUUGCCAGCACAGCAGGCUCACGGAAACUUCCGGCAGGUAACCUUCUGUGCACUACCCCCUCAUCUUGCCCUGGCCUUGUCUUUCUGUUUCGGGGGCUUGUCUGUUUCCAAACCGCAGCGUGUCACCAGCUCAGCUGUCCGUCCAUCCCUCUGGGGGAAUGCUCUUUCUCUCUCCGAUGAACUCCAUACCCCUGGCUCGGAUGACGUGUCUCUCUUGGGGCCUUUGUCUACUCCUCUGUAAAGAGGUACAUUUGUCUGUCACAUGAUGAGGGCUGGCAGCGGAAUCGCUUUGCUAGCAAUUUGCAGGCCGCUCGAGCCCCUCUUCUGUGGCGUGGUGCCCUGCUGGCCCUCAAGUGCUGGGGCGAUGGUGCGGCCAGGAACACGGGCCGUGCGUCAGGCACAUUCAGAGCAGGGGACUGUCUGUGAGGCAGGGGCCGGUCCUGCUCUGAAGACCCCGGACCGCCCAGACCCGACACGGGGGUCAGCGUGUCAUGGGGUGACCCUGUAAGUGGAGGCUGGCGCGGGGCAGGGGGGUCUGGAGGGAUCGUGGGGACCGGGUGGCUGAGGGUAUUCCUGUCACCAGAUGUAGUUCACUUGCAUGAGCGUUUCUUGAGCCCGGCAAUGUGCCAGCACCUCGGCCGGGAACUGAGCCCUUAGGACACAGGAGAGACAGCUCCUGCCCUCAGGAAGCUUCGGGGCUAGUAGGGGGAGCUGAGGACAAUAAAUGAACGGUUGCGUUCUUCAAACGUGGCAAGAACCAUGCAAACGAGAGAAGAGUUGUUUGAGCGUACUCUAACUUUUUUUUUUUUAAGUUUAUUUAUUUCGAGAGAGAGAGAGAGAGAGAGCAGGGGAGGGGCAGAGAGAGGGAG